CUAUCUCCAUGCCAACAGCAAUGGCCAGUAAACUUCUGCAGCCAGGUAACCAUCAUCCUGAGUACCCAGUUGUUUCUAUCUAGACUAUAGGAUGAUUCUUUUUUUGCUCUUGUAAUCAAAGCCUGAAGUAGAGCUGUGUAUAAUCCGAAAAUCCACUAUUAAAGAAAACUAAUCAUCAGGUAUAGUAUCCCAGUAGUGAGGUAUGGAAGUGAGAGCUGGACCAUAAAGAAGGCUGAUCACCGAAGAAUUGAUGCUUUUGAAUUAUGGUGCUGGAGGAGACGCUUGAGAGUCGCAUGGACUGCAAGAAGAUCAAACCUAUCCAUUCUUAAGGAAAUCAGCCCUGAGUGCUCACUGGAAGGACAGAUUGUGAAGCUGAGGCUCCAAUACUUUGGCCACCGCAUGAGAAGAGAAGACUCCCUGGAAAAGACCCUGAUGUUGGGAAAGAUGGAGGGCACAAGGAGAAGGGGACAACAGAGGACGAGAUGGUUGGACAGUGUUCUCGAAACUACCAUCAUGAGUUUGACCAAACUGCGGGAGGCAGUGGAAGACAGGAGUGCUUGGCGUGCUCUGGUCCAUGGGGUCAUGAAGAGUCGGACACGACUAAACGGCUAAACAACAACAACAAUUGUCAGGGACUGGGCAGAAGAGGAAUGGCGGAGACCGACUCCCCAUCCUGACCCUGCCAGGGAGGAGGAAGAGGAAGACAGUAUAGGCUUACAACAGGGGUUCGAGGAAGGUCACAGCUCAGAGGUAGAUGAGAGGAAAUGUUGGGAAAUCAUGGGAGAGCCAGAACAACACCCAGCUGACAUAUUGUCAUUAGAAAGCAUCUCAGACCCUCCAUCUCCCAGAACCCGGCAAGCCUUAAAAGUAGGAGAGCAAAGAGCUCAAAGACAGAGGGCACAUAGCAGCACCCGUAGAGGAGGUGAUGAUGAUGAUGAAUUAGGAAGUGGGAGAGGCGGAGGGUGGAGAUUCACUUAGGACAACGCCGUUAUCCAAGAGGCUGGGUUCUCUAGCCUCUCUCUAUAAAGAUUGAAAUUAAAAAAAGGACAGUAAGAAACUUUUCCUUGUCUUUAUACUUUCCUAGGCAACCAGCCUGGACCCAGUGACAGCAUCCUGGCAGAGGGUAUGUCCUUAAUCCCAACUUGUUUUAUUUUAUUCUCUGGUAGAUUUACAAAAAGAAAAGCACACACCGAUACAGUGGUACCUCGGGUUACAGACACUUCAGGUUACAGACUCUGCUAACCCAGAAAUAGUACCUUGGGUUAAGAACUUUGCUUCAGUAUGAGAACAGAAAUCCCACGGCAGUGGUGGCGCAAGGUCCCAUUAGCGAAAGUGGUGCUUCAGGUUGAGAACAGUUUCAGGUUAAGAACGGACCUCCAGAAUGAAUUAAGUUCUUAACCCAAGGUACCACUGUAAAUCAAUUUUAGAAAGGGGCAAGAUUAGAUGCAGAUGCACAAAGCAUUUUUUCUUUUCUUUUUUAAAAACAGAGUCUCCUUGCACUCCACUCUGCUUCCUCCUUUCUUCCCACCCAGGGUGGCCCUGCCCUCUGCCUGCCCCUCACAGGCAGCCCGUCGAGUGGGGCUGGGCCUCGGUCUUGCCAGCAGUCGCCUUUCCUCCUCCUGGUCUGUUCUCCAGCAGCCAACACAAGCAGCUCAAGGAAGCAGGUUGGCAACAGCAGCCAUGGAGAGUCAACAGGAUGCUCCCUCGCUGAGUUCGGUGGCAGCAGCACUGGCGGGGGAAAUAGGGACAUUCCGGAACCAAAUCAGAAACCAGGAUGGCUUUCACAAUUCCAGGACUGUCCCUGGAAAAUCAGGACACUUGGUGGAUAUGUGUCAGGGUACUGCCAUCGAAAGGGGGGAGGGAGGCAGAAGCAUACAGGGAGCUUCCGACUUUGCUGAGCAGUAACACCUCGUUGGGGACUGGUGAGAGCGAAGCCUCUGGAGAAAGGGAGGGGGAAAGGAGGGGCGAAGGGAGGCAAAGGCUCACAGAGGUUACUGCGAGCCCGAGCACUGCUCCCAGGCAGGCUGAUAGGGAAACAGACAUGCAGCUUCCAUCACCUAGUUUUCGCAAGGGAGUCAAACAUAAGGAAAGGAGGAGGAGACUGGGGAUGUCGAAGUUCUUAUGCUGAGGGGGACGGGGACAGGAAGAACCCACUCUCGGAAUCUGCGAGUGACUGACACAGUCAUGAACUUUGGAACACUGAACUGUACAUAAAGCUAAAGGUAAAGGGAUCCCUGACCAUUGGGACCAUUAGGUGGGGUUGCGGCGCUCACUAUGAAACUAUACACUAUACACUAUGAAAGUCCCUCAACUUUGAUGGCAGAAAGUGAGGAGGAAUUAAAGAACCUCUUAAUGAAGGUGAAAGAGGAGAGCGCAAAAUAUGCUCUGAAGCUCAACAUCAAAAAAACGAAGAUCAUGGCCACUGGUCCCAUCACCUCCUGGCAAAUAGAAGGGGAAGAAAUGGAGGCAGUGAGAGAUUUUACUUUCUUGGGCUCCAUGAUCACUGCAGAUGGUGACAGCAGCCACAAAAUUAAAAGACACCUGCUUCUUGGGAGAAAAGCAAUGACAAACCUAGACAGCAUCUUAAAAAGCAGAGACAUCACCUUGCCAACAAAGGUCCGUAUAGUUAAAGCUAUGGUUUUCCCAGUAGUGAUAUACGGAAGUGAGAGCUGGACCAUAAAGAAAGCUGAUCACCGAAGAAUUGAUGCUUUUGAAUUAUGGUGCUGGAGGAGACUCUUGAGAGUCCCAUGGACUGCAAGAAGAUCAAACGUAUCCGUUCUUAAGGAAAUCAGCCCUGAGUGCUCACUGGAAGGACAGAUCCGGAAGCUUAGGCUCCAAUACUUUGGCCACCUCAUGAGAAGAGAAGACUCCCUGGAAAAGACCCUGAUGUUGGGAAAGAUGGAGGGCACAAGGAGAAGGGGACAACACAGGGUGAGAUGGUUGGACAGUGUUCUCAAAGCUACCAACAUGAGUUUGACCAAACUGCGGGAGGCAGUGGAAGACAGGAGUGCCUGGCGUGCUCUGGUCCAGGGGGGUCACGAAGAGUCGGACACAACUAAACGACUAAACAACAACAACAACAAAGUCCCCACCCCCACCCCACAUAAAUGAUGAAGUGGCAAGAUCCAGCCUUUGGCAACAGGAUAGCUUGCGAGACUCAAGCUAGAUCGAGUCUUCGAUUCCUGCAAGAGCUGAACUUCUCUGCAGGUUAAUUAGCAUAACACAAUUAUCAUAAGUUAAAUUAAAUUAAUUAACAGAAGCAAGAGGAGCUUUGCAGACGUUAUCAGAAUACAGAAAGACAGGACGAAAAAAGACAUCACUUCUUUUUUUAAUGAAUAUGGCAAUUUGAAGUAUGUUAAUGGUUUUGCUUUCAGCAUACCUUUAGGAAUGGGACGAAUGCUAAUAUUAGAAUAUCUGACCUAGUUUGAUUUUCUUUAACUGCAGGGGUUGAGGAGUUCUAGGUCAAGGGGAGGAGCCUAAUGUCACCUCUUUUCAAUUUGGCAACUACUGACAGAUAUGUCUACUUCUAAUCUCGUUAGAGCACCUGACUUCCCCAGGGAAGGUAACUGAGACCAACACAGAUUCCACCCAGUGGUGUACUUAGGAAAUUAUAGAAUCGGACAGUGUUUUGUGUGUGUGUGUGUGUGUGUAGUGAAGGUGUCCAUUUUACUCUUUCCCAUGACUUCUAAGGUAGGCCAGUAGCUGAAGACGUUCUCAGAUAAUACGCCACCACACUCCCUUAAGUUUUCCCCACCCCCUAGAUGGGAAUUAUUUAUUUCUACAGAUCCAAGCCAAAUACUUAUAUGGGGGAGGACAAAGAGAGUGUUUAGUGUACCCCACCCUUCCCAGAGCCCAAGGUAGCUUGCUUGGGGGAAACCAAAAUGCAGUAUAGUGGUACUUUGGUUCUCAAACGCAUUGGUACUGAAACAACUUAGAAGCCAAACACUGCAAACCCAGUAGUAAGUGUUCCAGUUUGCGAACUUUUUCUGGAAGCUGAACAUGCUCUAUUUUGAGUGUUACGCUUCCAUUUUGAGUGCCACACUUCCGUUUUGAGUGUUACACUGAGGUCUGUCUGUUUUUUGCUAUUUAUUUUGCAUUUCUGUGGCUUUUUUUCCUGACUGUGUGGAACCCAGUUCAGCUACUGACUGAUUGUGUGACUGCAGUACAUUGUUUAUCACUUUCAUUUUAUAGAUCAAUGGUCUUGUUACAUAGUAAAAUUCAUGUUAGAUUGCUGUUUUAGGGGUUGUUUUUAAAAGUCUGGAACGGAUUAAUCCAUUUUGCAUUACUUUCUAUGGGAAAGCGCGCCUUGGUUUUGGAACACUUUGGUUUUGGAAUGGACUUCCGGAACGGAUUAAGUUUGAGAACCACGGUACCACUGUAUUUCAUAAGAAAUGGCAGGAUAGAUACAGGACAGAUAUGGAUUAUGUCUAAUGUCGUGUGUACAUGCUUUCCUUACAGUGGUACCUCGGGUUACAUACACUUCAGGUUAUAGACUCCGCUAACCCAGAAAUAGUACCUCGGGUUUAGAACUUUGCUUCAGGAUGAGAACAGAAAUCGCACAGCAGCGGUGCGGCAGCAGCAGGAGGCUCCAUUAGCUAAAGUCGUGCUCCAUGGUAAGAACAGUUUCAGGUUAAGAACGGACCUCCGGAACGAAUUAAGUACUUAACCAGAGGUACCACUGUACCUGAUGCACUGGAUGCAAAAAAUAAGAGUGUGUACAAAAGGCAAAGGAGAACAGUGAUUAGUACAAUCAAUUCCACCAUCUAUCCAAGUCCCCCAGCUAUCAGGAACCCACGGAGUGCAAUCUAGACCUGAACUCAAGACCAGUGUUAGAAACUGAGAUAUGAAAGCUGGGAGCUGAAUGGCACCUUAAACCUAGGUUAUGGGCGCAACAACGGAAUGUCUCGGUGCGCUUUUUUAAAAACAAGAAUACAAAGCUGAAAAUGAAUGAACUGCAGCUAAAAUAUUAUGUUCAUUUUUCACAUGGUUUAGUCCUUCCCCUGCCCACCCACCUAAUAUUCUUAAGAGGGUCUCUUCUCCAGUCUUCAGAGAGUAGCUGGAAGUGGGGAAGCCGAAACAGCUCCUCCUUUCCUUCCACUCUGCAGUUUUAAUCUGAAAUCUUAGGUGUAGUACUGCACCCAGAGCUCAGAAACUGUUCGUGCUCAUGAAAUUCCCUUUCGCAAAAUGUGUCUGGAAUAAUGGGAGUUUCGAACACUACUUGAGAGUGGGAGCAACUGAUGGUCCAGGAACUUUCCUUGUCAUUCAUCUAUGGUCCUUCCCAUGCUUGUCUUUCCUUACAAAUAAUAUUACACCUGUUCUGAUGUCUUUGGAACAUGAACACACCCUACAUAAGGAAAAUGCUAGUUUUGUGCCUUGGAAGAUGGCAGUAUGUCGACAUACCUUUUUGUGGUCUCAUCACCUACGAGGUUAAUUUGUACUUUCAAAUGCAUUCAAAUCCUGUUUCGUGAUGGUUUAGAUAAGUGGCAAGAUUUGCAGAUGCAUAGGAACUUAUGGAAAGAAGCAAACAUGAGUUGUUGUUGUUUUUAAAAAAGGGGGCCAGGGGAGAGAAGCUGACAUCAGUAAGGCUAUCCCAUAUUCAACGCAACUCACAUGUUGUCCUUGCAUGCAGAAAGGAUAUGUCAGCCUGGAUAGCUCAGCUGGUGAAAGUGUUGUGCUGAUAACGCCAAGGUUGCAGGUUUGAUCCCUGUGUGGGACAGCUGAAUAGUCCUGCAUUGCAGGGGGUUGGACUGGAUGAUCCGCAGGGUCCCUUCCAACUCUGCAAUUCUAUGAUUCUAUAAUCUCGCUAGGGGACAGUUGUUUUUGUGAGGGUUGCAUAGACAUGGUUAAAGGUGAUCAUGUGCAGAAACAGUUAAGUGCCAGUACAGUCAUACCUCGGGUUACAGCCACUUCAGGUUGUGUUUUUUUGGGUUGCGGACCGCUGAAACCCGGAAGUACUGCAACAGGUUACUUCCGGGUUUCGGCGAUCACACAUGCGCGGAAGCGCUAAAUCGUGCUUUGCUCAUGCGCAGAAGUGCUGAAUCUCAACCCGCGCGUGCGCAGAAGCGCAGACACGGGUUGCGAACGCUGCGGGUUGUGAGCAUGCACCCUGCAUCCUGCAUGGAUCACGUUCACAACCCAAGCGUCCACUGUACAGUCAUACCUCGGGUUAACUGCAUGCUUUGCGCAUGCGCAGAAGCGCUCUAUCGCGCUCUGCGCGUGCACAGAAACGCCGCUCUAGUUGCGGACUUUUCGAGGUGUGAAUGGCACCCCGGAAUGGAUCGUGUCCGCAACUAGAGGUACCACUGUACUGAUAUAAGAGAUCGGAAGAGACUGAAACAUAAUUCUCUGUGUUCCCUCCCUCCCCAAACUCAGACCCUCCAAGUGCCCCUAUUUUCCAGGGACUGUCCUGGAUUUACAGAAGCCGUCCUGGUUUCUGAUUAGAUCCUGGAACGUCCUGCUUUUCCUUAGGACGUCCCUACUUUCAUCGGAGAAAUGUUGGAGGGUACGGAGUUAUGCGAUCCCUGAUCCAAGGAGAUAAGUAACUAUGCAACCUUUAGAAGACAUCUGAAGGCAGCCCUGCAUAGGGUUAGAAGCCGCCCAGAGUGGCUGGAGCAAACCAGUCAGAUGGGCGGGGUAUAAAUAAUAAAAUUGUUGUUGUUGAAUAGGAUGUCCCUAUUUUCAUUGGAUGUGGGUGGCGCUGUGGUCUAAACCACAGAGCCUAGGGCUUGCCGAUCAGAAGGUCGGCGGUUUGAAUCCCCGCGACGGGGUGAGCUCCCGUUGCUCGGUCCCAGCUCCUGCCCACCUAGCAGUUUGAAAGCACGUCAAAGUGCAAGUAGAUAAAUAGGUACCACUCCGGCGGGAAGGUAAACGGCGUUUCCGUGCACUGCUCUGGUUCGCCAGAAGGGGCUUAGUCCUGCUGGCCCCAUGACCCAGAAGCUGUAUGCCGGCUCCCUCAGCCAAUAAAGCCAGAUGAGCGCCGCAACUCCACAGUCAUCUGCGCCUGGACUUAACGGUCAGGGGUCCCUUUACCCUUUAUUUUCAUUGGAGGGUAUGCAAACUGCGACCCUAGUGGCUGAAUUUUUGGCACAGUGCUCAUGCCGUUCUGACAGAUGCCAGCAUGCUCUCUAUACCUAGUGAUCUAGCUCAAAAGAGCCUCUAGCUGUUCCUCGCUGUGAGUUCUUGUUAUCUGCACAUCCUCUCUGGCCUCCAGAGUCCCUGCUCUGUGAUUUAGACGGCCUUUUUGACUUGCAAAUGGGACUCAUUUCCAAAGCUGUGGCAGGGCCUUCUCUGCCUCCCUCCCUGCGCACGCGGAGAGCAACAUCUUCUCUCUGUCGUGUUGCAGCCCGCCCCCCCACCCGACUUGUGGGUACCAACGUGUCAUCUCGGAGCCUCGGGAGAAGCGAGAGAGAAUCCAGCCCUCCCGAUCCAGGCUCUUACAUUAAGCCCUCUAACCUCGGUAGAUCUGCAGGCGUCACACUUCAUGGGAACGGCAGAGUUUUACAUCCCCCCAGAGCCAUCUUCAUUCAUUUGUCUCGUAGGUAAAACGAAAUCUGGAAAUUAUUUAUAGACCACUUGGGCUUUGACUGCGAGAAUCAACCACGGAUCAAGCACAUUCGAUGCUUUAGGUGGUUCUGAUGAAGAGUUGUAUGUUGCGGGCCUUUUGCCCUGGCUGAAUGGGCAUUGCUUUCACCCUUGUCUUCGAAAACCGCCUGUGGGUGCCCAUAUUAAGCUUCGCUGCACAAAUUCCCAGGAACAGCAUCCUAUUUAACAUUAUUACUAUGUAUGCAUGUGUGUAUACACAGACAGACAAAGCCACAUUUUAUCAUCCAAGUGCCUUGAUUUUCCAAGGACAACCCCAGAAUUAUGAAAACUGUCUCGGCUUCUGAUAUAAUAAUAAUAAUAAUAAUAAUAAUAAUAAUAAUAAUAAUAAUUUAUUAUUUGUACCCUGCCCAUCUGGCUGGGUUUCCCAGCCACUCUAGGCUGCUUCCAACUCAGACCAAAAAUACACUAAGAUGUCACACAUUAAAAACUUCCCUAAACAGGGCUGUCUUCAGAUGUCUUCUGAAUGUCAGGUAGUUGUUUAUCUCUUUGACAUCUGAUGGGAGGGCGUUCUACAGGGCGGGUGCCACCACGGAGAAGGCCCUCUGCCUGGUUCCCUAUAGCUUUGCUUCUCGCAAUGAGGGAACCGCCAGAAGGCCCUCGGCGCUGGUGCUGACAGUGUUGAACUAAGAUGGAUCAGUGGUCUGAAUCAGUACAAGGCGGCUCCUCUGUUCCUAAGAAGUCACGGGCUUCUUGUUGUCUCCUAGUCAAUUAUGGACCAUUUAAUGUAUGGCUGCUCUGCUGCUCUGCAUGCAGUAAGUUGCAAAGACACAAAUCACAGCAUUUCCAUAUGCAUAGGGCAGCACAAAUCCUUGAACACACCCUAUCAGGCAUGCAUACAGAGUGGCGUUCUCGAGUGAUCUCCUAAUUCUAUCUGAAAUCACCACGUUUCUCCUAGGCAGCUCCAGAUCAGUGUGGCUAUAUGUAAAUAUCCAAUCUCCUGAUUACUAGAACAUUUUGGAUGCUUCCUCCUUCACACUCCCCAGCUAAUUUGGAUAAAUGAGAUGGCGUUGCAUUAUUUAUAGAGCAGUUCUUCUGGCAAGGAGGGGGUGGGAUUGGAAUUUUACCAUUCAUAUCUCAUUCAUCCUCGGAACUGUUCUACGAAGCAAAUUAUUCUAAUUCUCACUUUACCAAGGGUGGGAAACGGAGGGCAACUCCAUGACAACAAUACUCUGCUUUCAUUAGCACGUUGUGUGUCUGAUCUACCGCAUGGCUACUUGCCACUGCUAUGCCAGCCCCUAUGCUAUGGCAGCUCAUUGAUACACCUUCUCAGGGACCUCUUAGAUGCACCUAGGUGGUUAUUUGCAAAUAAAGGGGAAAAAAUAAAUCAAACAAAAAGAUAUAGACACAGAGUUAGCCCCAGACUGACCCCUGCGAUGGUAAAAUUUUGGGUGCCUCUAAGAAUGAUUGCACCAGGGACACGGGUGGCACUGUGGGUUAAACCACAGAGCCUAGGACUUGCCAAUCAGAAGGUCGGUGCUUCAAAUCCCCGUGACGGGGUGAGCUCCUGUUGCUUGGUCCCUGCUCCUGCCCACCUAGCAGUUCGAAAGCACGUCAAAGUGCAACUAGAUAAAUAGGUACCGCUCCGGCGGGAAGGCAAACGGCAUUUCCGUGCGCUGCUCUGGUUCGCCAGAAGCGGCUUAGUCAUGCUGGCCACAUGACCCGGAAGCUGUACGCCAGCUCCCUUGGCCAAUAAAGCGAGAUGAGUGCCGCAACCCCAGAGUCAGCCACGACUGGACCUAAUGGUCAGGGGUCCCUUUACCCUUUACCUUUUAAGAAUCAUUGCAGCUCUCUUAAGUCUACUGCUGCUGAAAUGCCAGCUUCUCCCUGCUCAAAUAGAGCGGCUCCAGCUGUUCUAAAAUGAAUCAGCUCAGAACCUGUUGUGCACAAAUCUGCUGGUGGCUGCUGUCCAACCCUCAGCAGCUGCCCUGAGUUACAUGUCUCAAAAUUUCUCCUUUCCCACAGCAAUAUUCAGAGGUGGACUGUGUUUUCGUGCAGACAGCAGCACAAAGGUAGUGAGAAGUACGGUGGUUGUCAUCAGCUCAGCAAGAUGCUCUCUGUGAUGGACCGGAGGGUCCCUCCCCCAUUGGUAGAUUCCCUUUAGUAUAAGAAAUAUGACAGGCUGUCACCAGAGAAGAAGAACCUGCUAACACGCCUUAGGCUGCCCAGCUGUAUCAGAAGUUUCUGGGUUCUACUGCCAAGGCCCCUCCCUUAAUAAUAAUAAAAAUAAAUUUUAUUUAUACCCAGCCCUUCCCGGCCAGAGCCGGGCUCAGGGCAGCUAACACCAAUAAAAUUACAGCAAUCUCCAGCCCUCCUCCCCCUCCUCUUCAGUCCAGUCCCUGACAUCCUGGGACUUGUAGCUCACCCCUCAGAAAGCUACAGUUCCCAGCACUCUAAGCAAACUACCUACCCUAGGAUUCUUCGAGGGGGGUGGACUUUGCCAGCCAUUCCAGAACCUGGCCCUUUGCUACAUCUCAUGACUCCAUCAGAACCCAACUGCUGUUUGCUGAGCUGCCUUUUUGGAAUUUAGCCCGAAUCUGCUUAUUGGAUCCUGGAUGUGAACUUCAUCGGUAUUUCAGUCCCAGCUGUACCCCAUAUCUGGGCCAGACCCUUUCCUUAUAAAGACUGCUGCCUAAAAAAUGUAUCAGUUGUGGACUUCCUGAGAACUGUCUUUUUCAAGAUGCUCCAUGUGGCACCGUUGAUCGGUAUCAGGAUAUACGGUUCAUCACAACCUCACUAAGUCUCCGAACAAGCUGAUAUCUGGCUUUUCAUCUGCCACCUCAAAAAAAUUGCUCCAUAUUGAAAAUAUUAUAGGAUUUGCAGGGCAACCCUGUGCAGGUUGACUGUUUAGUAAGUCCUAUUGGAAUUUCAUGGAGCUUACUCCUAUGAAAGUGUGCAGAGGGCUGAAGCCUUUAUGGUACUUUAACAACCACCAAAAUAUUAUUUUAGCUUUGAAGCUUAGUCUGCAAGAAAGAUCAUUGAAUGCAACUGUCUGACUCUGGGGCAUGCAUCCUGAUUUAUUUAUUUUGGGGCACAAAGUUUGUGUGGAGGUUAGAUGACACCAGCUACUUAUUGAGCAUUCAUUCUGAUUAGUUUGUGGAGAGGUUUUACAACCUUUCCCAUCCUCUCCAGUGCAUUUUCUGAUUAAUAAUCCCUUCUUGCAAAACGUCCAAUUUAGCUGGUGGUGUCAGCACUGCAAUCGCACCUUCUGUGCUGCAAGGUUGUGAGAUGUGCCCACCGCGGUUGAUAUAAAACCAAACCUCAGCUUAAGUGAUUUGACCUGCAAAGGAUAAGAUUUAAAACACCCCAGUGAAGUUGAAUCAGCCAAACCUUUCAUUCUAAUAGACUUCUCUUUUUUCCCCUAGGAAAGUGGUGAACAUUUCCAUCUCCUGCAAUUAUCUGUUUCUUUUCCUUAUUUGGGUGCCUUGGUUAAGCUAGAUGGGGGAAUCAUCCAUGCGGUGAUUGUUUUAAUCCAGUUUGAAGUCAUUUUUGGAGGGCAACCCCAGCCUACCUUCCUCUUCGUGCCCACAUUGUUACAUUCCCCUCUUUUUACUCUUCCUUUCUCCCUCGCAUCCUUUGAAAUCCCAGGACAAUUACGCAAGCCACUUUGGUGCUUCAUCCUGCUGUCUUUUGAUUCCCUUGUCUUCACUCAAUUCCUAUGGGAAAAUCACAGCAUGUCAGUGUGUAACCACCACUGUUAGAAACUGAGAUAUGAAAGCCAGGAGCUGAAUGGCACCUUAAACCUAGGUUAUGGGCGCAACAAUGGAAUGUCUAGGCAUGCUUUUUUAUAACAAGAAUACAAAGCUGAAAAUGAAUGAACCUCAGCUAAAAUACUAGGUUCAUUUUUCACAUGUCUCCUUCCCCUGCCCACCCCUCUAAUAUUCUUAAGAGAGUCUCUUCUCCAGUCUUCAGAGAGUAGCUGGAAGUGGGGAGGCAGAAAAAGCUCCUCCUUUCCUUCCACUCUGCAGUUUUAUGCUGAAAUCUUAGGCACAGUACUGCACCCAGAGCUCAGAAACUGCUGGCGCUCAUGAAAUUUCCUGUUGCAAAAUGUGUCUAGAACAAUGGGUGUUUCGAACACUGGUAACCACAUCUUUGCAUCGGCACAGUAAAUGUCUCUAGCAAGCAUUGCAAUGAUACAGCUUUGUUGUUGUUGUUUAGUCGUUUAGUCAUGUCCGACUCUUCGUGACCCCAUGGACCAAAGCACGCCAGGCACUCCUGUCUUCCACUGCCUCCCACAGUUUGGUCAAACUCAUGCUGGUAGCUUCGAGAAUACUGUCCAACCAUCUCGUCCUCUGUCGUCCCCUUCUCCUUGUGCCCUCCAUCUUUCCCAACAUCAGGGUCUUUUCCAGGGAGUCUUCUCUUCUCAUGAGGUGGCCAAAGUAUUGGAGCCUCAGCUUCAGGAUCUGUCCUUCCAGUGAGCACUCAGGGCUGAUUUCCUUCAGAAUGGAGAGGUUUGAUCUUCUUGCAGUCCAUGGGACUCUCAAAUGUCUCCUCCAGCACCAUAAUUCAAAAGCAUCAAUUCUUCGGCGAUCAGCCAUCUUUAUGGUCCAGCUCUCUCUUUAUGAUACAGCUUUACUCUGGUCUAAACCCGUCUCCUUAUUGAAGAAUUGUUCUUUUGAAUUUCUGACAUGUGGACACAGCACACUAUUCAUCUGCAAGAGCAGAAGCACUGUAUUCCUGCAUCAUAAGGCCUGUAAAUAACUUGGGAGAUCAGCUAGCUCUGUUGUUACUACCACCCAUCCCCGAAGCAGGUUGUUGCAGUCACCGAAUGACCUCACCGGGGAUCUUUUUUCAUCUUAAUGCGUCUUUAAGUACAUGCGUCCUUAUUUGCAGACCAACAAAAAAAGAUACAAAGAUGCAUGAAGCAAAGAUGCUUAGAGCUGCAAAGUAAAACACAGACACGGCCAAAUAAUACACACCAAGUAUGCGUGCUCACGCACCCAUGUAGACUUGUUUAAACAAUCCUUUAUCUAGAGAAUAACCCCUUGACUCGGAACUGUUUUUACACAUUUAGACGGAGUCCUCUGAGCUGAAAGCAACUCAAUAACCCCUGACCCAGCCAGGAAUUCUUGAGUCUCCUCUCUAUCAUCCUGGGAUAAUGAGCAGGAAAAAGAAAAACAAUGGCAGUGUGGCUAUUGCAGGUCAGAGCUUGCAGUCUGACAAAGCAACAUGUAAUGAUCUGUAAAAGACCAGGAACAUGACACAUAGGAUCCAUGCAAAAAACCUAUGCGGUUGGCAACACCCAUGUGAUUGCUUAAUUUGCACAUGCUUCCGGUAGCGUUGCACUAUGGAGGAAUAGUUUCCAGGCUGCUGUGUACUGCAAUAAUAAUUUAAUAAUAAUAAUUCCCCAGCCACUCUGGGCGGCUCCCAACAGAAUAUUAAAAACAUGAUAAAACAUCAAACAUAAAAAAUUUCCCUAAACAGGGCUGCCUUCAGAUGUCUUCUAAAAGUCAGAUAGUUGUUCAUUUCCUUAACAUCUGAUGGGAGGGCGUUCCAAAGGGCGGGCGCCACUUCCGAGAAGGCCUUCUGCCUGGUUCCCUGCAACCUCAUUUCUCGCAGGGAAGUUGCCAGAAGGCCCUUAGCGCUGGACCUCAGUGUCUGGGCUGAACGAUGGGGGUGGAGACACUCCUUCAGGUAUACUGGGCCGAGGGCAUUUAGGGCUUCAAAGGUCAGCGCCAACACUUUGAAUUGUGCUCAGAAACAUACUGGGAGCCAAUGUAGGUCUUUCAGGAGCGGUGGUAUGUGGCUUGGGCAGCCACACCCAGUCACCAGUCUAGCUGCCACAUUCUGGAUUAGUUGCAGUUCCUGGGUCACCUUCAAAAGUUGCCCCACGUAGAGAGCAUUGCAGUAGUCCAAGUGGGAGAUAACUAGAGCAGUUAUCUGUGGGCAGGUAGAGUCUCAGCCUGCAUUCCAGAUGGAGCUGGUAGACAGCUGCUCUGGACAGAGAAUUGACUUGCGCCUCCCUAGACAGCUGUGAGUCCAAAAUGACUCCCAGGUUGCGCAUCUGGUCCUUCUGGGGCACAGUAACCCCAUUCAGGACCAGGGAGUCCUCCAUACUUGCCCACACCCUGUCCCACAAAAACAGUACUUCUGUCUUGUCAGGAAUCAACUCAAGCUGUUAGCCGCCAUCCAUCCUCCAACAGCCUCCAGACACUCACACAGGACAUUCACUGCUGUAACCAGAGGCCAGAUGCGACUAAGUCAUUGCGCUAGCAGAAGCCAGUGCAAUGAAUGCCCACUAGUCCAGGGGGCCUUUCCCUCUCUCCCCUCCCCCAUGCCUUCCCCAUAUCUGCUCAAGAGGGGUGGCAGGGCCCCCGGUACAGUGCAUGAGGGAAGGGGAUCUUGUUCCGUUUGGGAAGCAGAAAUGCUUGUGACCAUCUCUGAAAGGUAAAAUGAGAAACUACCUUGGCAGGCCACCAUACGGAGAGAUGGACAGCUGAAGGAUGCGGGUGGCGCUGUGGUCUAAACCACUGAGCCUCUUGGGCUUGCCGAUCAGAAGGUUGGCGGUUCGAAUCCCCACGAUGGAGUGAGCUCCUAUUGCUCUGUCCCAGCUCCUGCCAACCUAGCAGUUUGAAAGUACACCAGUGCAAGUAGAUAAAUAGGCACUGCUGCAGCGGGAAGGUAAACGGUGUUUCUGUGUGCUCUGGUUUCCAUCACAAUGUCCCGUUGCACCAGAAGUGGUUUAGUCCUGCUGGCCACAUGACUCGGAAAGCUGUCUGUGGACAAAUGUCGGCUCCCUCAGUCUGAAAGCGAGAUGAGCGCCGCAACCCAUAGUCGCCUUUUUAGAUCCUGUUUGUUUGUAGCAUGAUGAGAGGGCUGUGAUGUCUUGUUCUAUUUUGCUAAUUUUUGAGGAGGUUUGUUUUUUAAAGAAUGCUUUCUCUUUUAUGCAAGCUCCUCUGGUGACCGCUUUCAUUGCGUCCCAUAGGAGGGGGGUUGUUAUAUUGGCUACAUCAUUUCCCUUGAAGUAGUUUUGGAGAGUUUUUGUGAGACUCUCUCUAAUUUGUUUGCUUGCAGUUAGGAUGGGACUGAAGGCCCAUGAUGGGGUGGUUUGUGUUCCUUCUCCUAUUUUAACAGUGACUUCUACUGGGGCGUAAUCUGUGAUUUUAAUGUUACCCAUGGUGGCGAUCACACAGGGUCCCCGGACGUAUUGGCCCUGUGCCUCCACUGUGAUUGCUUUCUUCGCUGCCACCAACCCGUUUCUCACGGGUACAUGCGGAGUCCAGUCAGUUGUUAACAUUAACAAAUAAUCAAGUUUAUUUUACAGUGGUGCCUCGCAAGACGAAAUUAAUCCGUUCCGCGAGUCUCUUCGUCUUGCGGUUUUUUCGUCUUGCGAAGCACGGCUAUUAGCGGCUUAGCGGCUAUUAGCGGCUUAGCGGCUAUUAACGGCUUAGCGUUUUAGCGGCUUAGCGGCUAUUAACGGCUUAGCGGCUUUAAGAAAAAGGAAACAAACUCGCAAGAACUCGCAAGACGUUUCGUCUUGCGAAGCAAGCCCAUAGGGAAAUUCGUCUUGCGGAACGACUCAAAAAACGGAAAACCCUUUCGUCUAGCGAGUUUUUCGUCUUGCGAGGCAUUCAUCUUGCGGGGCACCACUGUAUAGGCAUGAACAAGCUUAUGGUUUCAGUUAAUUUUUCUUGUCAGUUUCUUAAUCUUAGUUCCUUAACUGUCCUAUUCGUUCCUAACAACUUCAAACUGAUUAUCCCAACUAACUAUCUGACACCACCUAACAAUUCCUCUCACUCUCUCACCACACAACUCCACCAACCCACAGACUAUUCCUCCCUCUUCCUUCUCCAACUCCCCACUCUCAACUGACUUCCAAACAACACCAACUCUCACUCUAACUCCUCCCCUUGGUUCCCACUGGCCAGUCACUUCACACUCAUUUAACCCUUUCCUUAUGACCCACCUAGGAGGCAAAUGCCACACCUAUGUUCGUUGAUUCCACUGAGGGGAUCAGACCCUGUGUGAGCAGAACGCUGUCCAGUUGGGACACUGUACCAUGGCGUCCAGAUUGGAAUGUAUGGCUGGUGUCUCCCAGGUUUUGCUCACCCCAAAUGUCAUAGAAACCCCUGCUUUUUAGCAUUUUUAGUAACUUGUAGGAGUCCCUAGUUGUGGGGGUUUCCUUCGGACGAAGGUUGCCCAUGGCCCAUAGUCGCCUUGGACUGGACUUAACCGUCCAGGGGUCCUUUACCUUUUACCUUACCACUACAUUAUGCUGACCGCACACAGCACAAACCCAUGCUCACAUUUGCCCAUGGCUGCACACUCUUUCCUGCAUGCGUGCUUUGCCCUGCUUGCCCCUGCAGCCGUGUUUCUCAGGAGGCCGAGUGGUUUAAGCACAACCAGGGAGGCGUAUUGCAGGGCCAAACUUUGAGCCAGGGAGAUGCUGCCUAGUGAAUUAUGCAUGAGGCCAGAAAGCUUUUAUCUGUGCGGACAAAGGCCUGUAGCCAGCCAGCUGGGCUUUCUGCCGUACCUGUAGCUUCCUCCCGCUUGCACUUUAUCUCCAUUCCCAGCUUGUAAUUCAGCCCAAAUAUCAGAGAAGGCCGGGAGAUUAAUUUUCUCGGUUUGCAAGGCAAAGAGGUAGAGUUGAUGUGUGUGUAUGCAGGCACUACGCUCACUCUGGACUCCCAACCGCUUAAUCUGCAGAUGAGGCCUGCAGAAUGUGUUGGGGAGAUAUAUAUAUAUAUAUAUAUCUGAGUCAAUGAGGGGAAAAAAUCAAAGACAAUUUCUUGGUUCGGGAGGCGGCUAUCAUGAUGUGUGUAUAUGUGUAACUGCACAUGAAUAAAUGCACAGAGCGUAACGAAACUAACAUGUGAAUUAGUGCAUGCAUGCACAUAGAUAUAAUGCAUAUGCAUUUUUAGUUAUUAAUGCAUUGCAAUGGCUUUCUGCUUACUCUUUUUCUCACUGGGUAAUUGGGCAGCCAAGGGCCCGAGUGACUGCUCAUGCCAAUUUCAUAUUAGAACUGCCCAACCCACUGUUAGGAUUACCAGCUUUUAAUUAGUCCCUGCUUCUGCGCAUUUCAUGGUAGCUUGUUAUGCAGAUAUUGGCAGGUAAACCAGGGGCGAACGAAGGCGUUGUGACACCCGGAGCGGAGCGUCGCUACGUAGGGCGCAUGUGCUGUACGUAGUGACGCCGCACAUGUGCUGUACAUAGUGUUUUGCCACCGCUGGCACUCCAGUGCCAUACGGACAGUGCUGGGACCCUCUGCUCGCAGCUGCAGCCACAAAUGGAGGAUCCUCUGUUUGCGGCUGUAGCGGCAACAGAGGGAUCCCACCGUCAUCCGUACGGUGCUUGAGCGGCACUGGUGGCAAACUGCAACAUACAGCACAUGCGUGCGACACCGCACAUGCGCUGUACAUAGCGGUUUGCCGCCGGCACCGGGAUCCUCAGCUUGCGGUUGCAGUCAUGAACGGAGGAUCCUCCACAUGCGGUUGCGGCGGCGCAAUGGCUGCUUGCACUGCCGCGAGCCCCAGCGGGGUGCCUUCUUGUCACCCCCCAAGACAUGGCACCCGUGGCGAACUGCCCCCCCCCCGUUGUGAUGCCACUGAGGUAAACUCCAUUCUAGUACAGUCAUACCUCAUGUUACGUUUGCUUCAUGUUACAUUCUUUCAGGUUACGUCCCGCGGUGACCCGGAAGUACCAGAAAGGUUUACUUCCGGGUUUCGCUGCUCGCGCAUGCGCAGAAGUGCUAAAUUGCGCUUUGCGCAGAAGACCAAAUCGCACCGCGCACCUGUGCAGAUACAGCACUUCAGGUUGCGCUCUUUUCAUGUUGCGAACGGGCCUCCGGAACAGAUCCCGUUCGCAACUAGAGGUACCACUGUACGUGCAACACCUGCUGAUUUCUGCAGAUUAAACAGUUGAGGGAUAGGGACCAUAGAAUGGAGAAUGUGGAACAGUUUCCAUCGGGAGGUGGUGGACUCCUUGGAGGUUUUUUUUUUUUUUAAAUGAUAUUUAUUAAAAUUUUAGAAAAAAGAGUUACAUAAAAACAAGAAAGGCAAAAACAAAAGACAGAAAUAAAAAUACAAGAAAAAUACAAAAUACAGAAUACAGAAUAAAAGAAUAAAAAACACUUAAGAAAAAGAAAAAAAUAAAUCAGUCUUUCCAUGCCUUACAUUCAUAUCCUUGUUUCUCUGACCUCCUCAUACCUCCCUUUUUUGUAUUCCAAUUCAAUUAGUUAAUUCAGCAAUUUCUUUCCCUCUUUAUUUUCUCUUAAUCCUUUAACUUAAUAUACUAUAACUUUAAAUUUUCACCUGUUAUCAAUCCAUUUUUACAUACACCUUUAUAGCAUUACUGCUUCAACCGCCUAACUUGGAGGUUUUAAAGCAGUGGUUGCUGGGCGCCUGUCAUAUAUGCUUUAGCUGAGUUUCUUGCAUUGCAGAGGGUUCAAAUAGAUGAGCCUCAGUGGACCCCUUCCAAAUCUUCGAUUCUAUGAUUCCAUGUUUCUAAGGCACAGGAACAAACCAGGCAGUUUUAUUCUCUGCCAGUUGGCAACCUUAUUUAAAACCUUUGCCUUUUGCAGUAACCCUUGUCAAUUCAUGGUCAUAUCCUCCUUUCUGAGGCCCUGGCAAUUCCACAUGUAAACAUCUGCAAUAACCACACUCAGCUGCCGUAAACAUACAGGUUACAGACGCUUCAGGUUACAGACUCCACUAACCCAGAAAUAGUACCUUGGGUUAGGAACUUUGCUUCAGGACGAGAAUAGAAAUCGUGCGGCGGUGACGUAGCGGCAGCAGGAGGCCCCAUUAGCUAAAGUGGUGCUUCAGGUUAAGAACAGUUUCGGGUUAAGAACGGACCUCCAGAACGAAUUAAGUUCUUAACCCGAGGUACCACUGCACAUCUAUACUCAGGGAUCAGCUGUUGCACUAGCGAGAUAUGGAAGAGCCUAAGCUAAUGUGGUCAAUUGGCAGCAGCACCUAUCCAUGCUGCCUUUCGUAGAGACUUCACACUGGUGUGUGUGCGCGCGCAUGCACACACCACAGGCUGUCCUUGUUCAUUAGCACUGAUAUAACUGUGUAUCAAGCUCAUACCUUUCCCAGCUGAGCCCGAUCUGUUUCAGAAACAUUUGCAACAUCGAAAGCUCCAAGUCAUAAUUAGUAAUUUAUGCAGCUUCUAAUCAAUGUGGAAUGUGAAUUUCUAAUCCUUCUGGCUUUGUGUCAAGAGAAGGCAGGCUUCUUUCGGAGCCCAGCUUCCCAGGAACGGCGGUGCAGGCUUCAGCGGCGGGACAGUGCGCAUGGCUGCAGGCAUUAGGAAUCUGUUGGGGGUGUGCAAGCAGAGUCAGGCAUGUGCCAAGCUGCAGGCUGGCACACAGACACGCAGAAGGGGCAUGUGGCUGGGGAUUUGAAUGCCAGAUAUGCCAGCUGAGGAGAUUCAACCAUUCAGGAGACCUACAUGCACGAGACCUGGUUCCUCCAGACCUCUUAAGCGCUUUGGGGUUGUUGUUGUUGUUGUUGUUUUAAACACAUGGCAAGAAGUUGGAAUUGUGUAUGGUUGUCCACAUGGCACCAUCUCUUGUGAGCACAAUGCAAGUAUAAUGUUGGAGACUCCAAUGUAUGGACUCAUAGCAUCCACUGCCUCCCAGGGCCUAUCAAAGAACUUUGGCAACUGAGGCAGAAAAGUCAAAUGAGACCUACUCUGCCCACCAAGGUUUGAUGUGUAUCUGGUUUUCCCUGUAUCUGGCGGCGGGUGUGCAAAUCCAACAUUGCUGAUGUCGCAGCAAAGCAUAACUGUUGCAGUCACUCACGUUUUGCCGCCUCGGCGAACCAAAUUAUUUAUGAAGCACGACAACGACAUUCUGCCAUGGAAGGCUUAGGGCCAAAUGAGAAGUGGCAUUUAUCACAAAGCUGCACACACACUGCACAUUUAAAGUGUGUCCCACUCUGCAGGAAUUCUGGGAAUUGUGGUGUGUUAAGACUGCUGGGAUAUGCAGAUGACACAACAUUGGUGGCAGAAAGUGAGGAGGAAUUAAAGAACCUUUUAAUGAGGGUGAAAGAGGAGAGCGCAAAAUAUGGUUUGAAGCUCAACAUCAAAAAAAUGAAGAUCAUGGCUGCUGGUCCCAUCACCUCCUGGCAAAUAGAAGGGGAGGUAAUGGAGGCAGUGAGAGAUUUUAUUUUCUUGGGCUCCAUGAUCACUGCAGAUGGUGACAGCAGCCACGAAAUUAAAAGACACCUACUUAUUGGGAGAAAAGCAAUGACAAACCUAGACAGCAUCUUAAAAAGCAGAGACAUCACCUUGCCAACAAAGGUCCGUACAGUUAAAGCUAUGUUUUCCCAGUAGUGAUGUAUGGAAGUGAGAGUUGGACCAUAAAGAAGGCUGAUUGCCGAAGAAUUGAUGCUUUUGAAUUAUAGUGCUGGAGGGGACUCUUGAGAGUCCCAUGGACAGCAAGAAGAUCAAACCUCUCCAUUCUGAAGGAAAUCAGCCCUGAGUGCUCACUGGAAGGACAGAUCCUGACGCUGAGACUUCAAUACUUUGGCCACCUCAUGAGAAGAGAAGACUCCCUGGAAAAGACCCUGAUGUUGGGAAAGAUGGAGGGCACAAGGAGAAGGGGACGACAGAGGACGAGAUGGUUGGACAGUGGUCUCGAAGCUACCAGCAUGAGUUUGACCAACCAGCGUGAGUUUGACCAAACUGCGGGAGGCAGUGGAAGACAGAAGUGCCUGGCAUGCUCUGGUCCAUGGGGUCACCUAGAGUCGAACAUGACUAAACGACUAUACAACAACAAAAGACCGUUGGGACUUUAAGCCAAACUACAGGUCCUAGAAUUCUUGGCUGUGUUGCAGGAGGUUAUACGAUGUUGUUAAACGUGCUUUGAGUGGGCUUUCAAUGUAUGGUGUUUAUGGAGCCAUUGUUUGGUCUUGCACAGUUCUUUUUUCUUUCCCAAACAGGUGUUGCAGGCGGAGCGUGUAAACUGGAUAGGGACCACAGCAUGGAGCUUUAAUCCAUUGUUUCACUCCCACCUGCUUUGUGGUCCCGAUCCGAGUCCACACAUGCAGUUCUGCUCUUCUCAAUGGGAAGAAACCUUGGGCAACAAUCAAUUCUUCCCACUCAUUUAAUCCUCUCUUGUGCAAACCUUAUCUUCGGACGUCAUAACGACAAGUUCCCUUUUUUAAAAAAAAGGUUUACUGAAUUUUUUCAUGGCACAAUAAAAAGGAUAAACUAAUCUACAAAGAAUAAUGAGAGAUACUAAGAGAAAAGAGAGGAGACAGAAAAAUAAAAAAUCCUCCCUCACCGCUAUAUUUUAAUUUUUAUCCCAUACAGAAAAAAGUGAGCCUUCCCAGGAUUCCUCAUUUCUCAUAGCAUCUCACCCUGUGAGAUCCCCUCUUCCCCAGCUCUCACACAGGGUCCUAACCUUCACUUUCAACUGCUUGCAGUUCUUACCCAAAUUUCUAUUCCAUACCCUCCAACAUUUCUCCGAUGAAGACAGGGACACCGUAUCCAAUAAUAAUAAUUUUACUAUUUAUACUCCGCCCAUCUGACAGGGCUGCCCCAACCGCUCUGGGCGGCUUCCAACAUAUAUAAAAGCAUAACAAAGGUAAAGGGACCCCUGACCAUUAGGUCCAGUCAUGGCCAACUCUGGGGUUGCGGCACUCAUCUCGCUUUAUUGGCCGAGGGAGCCGGCGUACAGCUUCCGGGUCAUGUGGCCAGCAUGACUAAGCCGCUUCUGGCAAACCAGAGCAGCGCACGGAAACGCCGUUUACCUUCCCGCCAGAGAGGUACCUAUUUAUCUACUUGCACUUUGAUGUGCUUUUGAACUGCUAGGUUGGCAGGAGAAGGGACCGAGCAACGGGAACUCACCCCGUCCCGGGGAUUCGAACUGCCGACCUUCUGAUCGGCAAGUCCUAGGCUCUGUGGUUUAACCCACAGCGCCACCCACGUCCCCUAAAAGCAUAAUAAAACAUAAUAAAAAAAAACCUUCCCUAUACAGGGCUGCCUUCAAACGGCUCGGGGGUUGGAUAACCCUCCAACAUUUCUCUGAUGAAAACAGGGACGUCCUAAGGAAAAGUGGGACAUUCCAGGAUCAAAUCAGAAACGUGUACAGCUCCUGUAAAUCCGGGAGUGCCCCUGGAAAAUAGGGACACUUGGAAGGUCUGCUAUUCCCAAUUGGAAGAAACCUUGGCCAACAAUCAAUACUGCCCCUGCAUAACCGUCUCACCCAAACCAAGGCUUUGUCACAGGACGUCAUAACAACAUGUUGUCCAGGUUGCCAAAAGACCCAGAAAAGCUAGCCCUGAAUCAGACCAACGCACACAAAGAGUUGCGUGAAUCUACCCUGUUAAAGAAGGGGUUACUCGGAAUGUAGGUCUGGUUUGCAAUUUACCUCUGAGGAUAAGAUUGUUUUGUGCAAUGAAACCCCACCCCAAGUUUCCUUUUGCCUUCUGAUGAGCUCUUCCAUUCCCCACCCCCACUAGGCUCAGACUCGCCAUGCCUACAUAAUGGCAGCAGAAUCUAAACACCCUCUCUGUACAGGUAUAUAAAUCAGCGCAGCAAGACAACUGGGAACCAACCCCCAGGGUACCUCUGAUAAGCCCAAUUGCUAAAACUUCCCACAGAUGAGAAGGAGCCUUUGAUCUCUCUGAAGUUACCUCAUCCCUUACGCAGGCUGUUUGUCAGGAGGCAAAGGAAAAGAUAAUGGAAUGGAUGCAAACGGACAAAGAGCGCAGGAGACACAGCAUCCCCUGAAUAAAGAAACACUCUGCAAUUUACCUGUGGCCAGACCUGGCUGCUGCUGCUGCUGUGACCUGAUUAAACCUAACACAACACAGAUGGGCACAGGGUCAUAGCCCCAUUGGGGUCAACGGGAUCUUCCCUAGGACAAGGAAUGGGGACCCUGGGACCCUUCAGACGCUCCUGGAUUACAGAUCUCAUAAUGCCUGACCAUUGGUCCUGCAGGCUGGGGGUGAUGGGAGUUGAGAGCAAAGCAAUAGGGUCCCAACCUUUGCUCUACGGGAGCCUCUAGGGGCCAAAACGCAGCCAGGUGCAAAUCAACUUCACUGGGGAGGUGGAAAGGUAAAGGACCCCUGGACAGUUAAGUCCAGUCAAAGGCGACUAUGGGGUUGCGGCAUUCAUCACCGCUUUCAGGCAGAGGGUGCCGGCGUCAUGUGGCUAGCAGGACUAAACUGCUUCUGGUGCAAUGGGACACCAUGAUGGAAACCUAAAAAGGUAAAGGUAAAGGGACCCCUGACCAUUAGGUCCAGUUGUUGCCAACUCUGGUGUUGCGGUGCUCAUCUCGCUUUAUUGGCUGAGGGAGCCGGUGUACAGCUUCCGGGUCAUGUGGUCAGCAUGACUGAGCCACUUCUGGUGAACCAGAGCAGCACACGGAAACGCCAAUUACCUUCCCGCCGGAGCGGUACCUAUUUAUCUACUUGCACUUUGAGGUGCUUUUGAACUGCUAGGUUGGCAGGGACUGAGCAACGGGAGCUCACCCGUCACAGGGAUUCGAACCGCCGACCUUCUGAUCGGCAAGUCCAGGGCUCUGUGGUUUAACCCACAGUGCCACCCACGUCCCUAUGGAAACCUAAGCGCAUGAAAAUGUCGUUUACCUUCCCACUGCAGCGGUGCCUAUUUAUCUACUUGCACUGGCAUGCUGUCAAAAUGCUAGGUUGGAAGAAGCUGGGAUAGAGCAACAGGAGCUCACCCCUUCGCAGGGAUUCGAACCGCCGACCUUCUGAUCGGCAAGUCCAAGAGGCUCAGUGGUUUAGACCACAGCGCCACCCGCGUCCCACUUAUGAGGCUCAAAGGGCCAGAGCCUCAAGUUCAUAUAUCCAAUUGUGAGGGGGGGAAUUGAGAGGUUACACAGAGAGAAAGUGGCUGGCCCAGGGUCAGUCAGUGAGCUUCAUAGCUGGUGGGAUUUUGAACCCGAAACCCUAGACCAGGCACAGGAAACCUUUAGCUCACCUGAUGUGGCUGGACUACAACUCCCAUCAGCCAUGGCUAUUGACCAUGCUGGCCAGGGUUGAUUGGAGAUGUAGUUCAGUAACAUCUGGAAGCCCAAAGGUUCCUAACCCUGGUUUAUUCCAACAACUCACCAAGGUCUUGUCUUUCUUUCCCAGCCCUGUCAGCUGCAACCUGUUUAACUGGAGAUGUUGAAUGAACUUUUGGAUACAAACAAUGUGCUCUAUCACUAAUCUAUGGCUCCUCCUAGCGAGAGGUAAAAUUUGGUCAAUGGGCCACCCAAGGCUUGCCACUGAAGAUCUGGCCCAAAUUUGAACUUUUGCAACCCGGUUGGUAAAAGGGACGCAGGUGGUGCUGUGGGUUAAACCACAGAGCCUAGGACUUGCCGAUCAGAAAGUCGGCGGUUCGAAACCCCACGACGGGGUGAGCUCCCAUUGCUUGGUCCCUGCUCCUGCCAACCUAGCAGUUCGAAAGCACGUCAAAGUGCAAGUAGAUAAAUAGGUACCGCUCCGGUGGGAAGGUAAACGGCGUUUCUGUGCGCUGCUCUGGUUUGCCAGAAGUGGCUUAGUCAUGCUGGCCACAUGGCCUGGAAGCUGUAUGCUGGCUCCCUCGGCCAAUAAAGUGAGAUGAGCGCCGCAACCCCAGAGUCGGCCACGACUGGACCUAAUGAUCAGGGGCCCCUUUACCUUUACCUUUAACCCAGUUGGCUCCAGUGAAGCCUAUGGCCUUACAGUGGUGCCCCGCAAGACGAAUGCCUCGCAAGACGGAAAAACCGCUAGACGAAAGGGUUUUCCGUUUUGAAGUUGCUUCGCAGGACGAAUUCCCCUAUGGGCUUGCUUCGCAAGACGAAAAUGUCUUGCGAGUCUUGAGAAUUUUUUUUCGCUUUUCCCCCCCCUUUAUCUAAUCUGCUAAGCCUUUAAUAGCCUUUAAUAGCCUUUUAGCAGCUAAUCCCCUAAGCCUUUAAGCCUUUAAUAGCCGCUAAACAGCUGAUAGCGCUAAUAGCGCUAAUCCGUCAAUGGGCUUGCUUCGCAAGACGAAAAAACCGCUAGACGAAGACUCUUGCGGAACGGAUUAAUUUCGUCUUGCGAGGCACCACUGUACCAAUGAGUGUAAGAAAGCCAGCCCCCGACUAUAGUAAUUUCCAUUUCUAAUUUAUUUCUGGCCCCCAAUGAAUUGCCGUACCACACAAUUUACCAUGUGGAGGUGGGAGGGUGUCAGAAGAAGCAUCUAGGAACAACUAAUUAGCAAAUAUAAAUGGGUGAUGUAAGGUGGAGCAAAUCAAGCAUUAUGGGGAUGGUGGGCUAAUGAGUAGGAGGAGGGUUUUCUCUGACAGAUAAUAUUUAAUGCUGUAAAGGAAAACAUAAUCCUCAGCCACCCUGGUGGUGAUUCAUUUAAAAAAAAACAGAGAGAGGGGGAGAGAGAGAGAGAGAGAGAGAGAGAGAGAGAGAGACUAAAAAUAAGUUUGAUACAACAGCAGCUCAUCUGUUCUCCAGUUGGCUAGAGCACGUGAUCAAAAAACAGAUAGUGUCAGUGUCUGUUACAAUCUGAAUUGCACAUGGGAUACCAUUGAUUUAGCUCGCAUGAUUGAGAACCAAGUUCAGUGUGAAUAAUGUACAAACGAUGCAGACAAGUAGUCGGGGGAUUGGCAUGUUGGAUUCUGUGGCUAGAAAACAAGAAUCUCUGAAGAUGGAAGGUGCCGUUGCCAAUCAUGAGCUAUCUGCUUCUCCCUUGAACCGAAAGCACAGAAUGUGCUCAGUUUCUAGUGUUAAGCCAAAGCCAAGAGGGAUGCGGGUGGCGCUGUGGGUUAACCACAGAGCCUAGGACCUGCCGAUCAGAAGGCCAGUGGUUCGAAUCCCCGCAACGGGGUGGGGUCCUGUUGCUCGGUCCCAGCUCCUGCCAACCUAGCAGUUCGAAAGGACGUCAAAAGUGCAAGUAGAUAAAUAGGUACCGCUCUGGCGGGAAGGUAAACAGCAUUUCCGUGCGCUGCUCUGGUUCGCCAGACGUGGCUUAGUCAUGCUGGCCACAUGACCCAGAAGCUGUAUGCCAGCUCCCUCGGCCAAUAAAGCGAGAUGAGCGCCGCAACCCCAGAGUCAGCCAUGACUGGACCUAAUGGUCAGGGGUUCCUUUACCUUUAAUGGGAAGACUAGCUCAGUGGCAGAGCAUCCCUGCCAUCUCCAGGUAAGGCUGAAUCUGAAAACGUUGGGCCUGCCUUUUUAGAAGAUCUAUCCCCAUGCUUGACAGAUAUUCCCCCUUUCCACUUUUGUCAAGGAGGUCUGCACAGACAAGUCCACCACCUCUCAUGGGAGUCUGUUCCUUGGUUGAACAGCUCUUGCUGCCAGAAAGCUCUUCCUGAUGUUUCGUUGGAAUCUCCUUUCUUGUAAUUAGAAUCCACUGGUUUGAGGCCUACCCUCCGGAGCAGGAGAAAGGAAGCCUGUUCCAUCUUCCAGCCCUUUAGAUAUUUCAAGACAGGUAUCAUAUCUCCUCUUAGGGUGUAUCUACACACAGGAAAAUCCCCACUAUAAAUAAGUCAGAAAUUAGAUCAUUAGAACAAAUGGAGGGAAAAAACCCCUAUGUAAAAUCGCCUAGAAAUGUUUUCUGCUCUGCAGCGCCAUCUGGUGUCACACUGUUAUAACACAUAUAAAACGUUUUUUCUUUACUAAUGUAGCUGAGUCCCCAGUCUCCUUUUCUCCAGGCUAACAUACCCAACUCCCUCAACCGUUCCUCACAAGGCUUGGUUUCCAGAGGAUGUUCUUGCAUAUGUAUAGUAUUCUACAUUUGGCUCGUUUGGUUUCCAGUGGGCUUCAAAAGCAGGCUUGCCAGCUCUUCCAAUUUGGCAGAGAGAUACUAGCUGUUAAGGCUAAUGACCUUCCCUUCUGCUUUCACUGUUGUUUCCUAAGCAAUGUUAUUGCCAAUUAAGCUAAAUCGCCCCCAAGGUUGAGCUAGGCUUACUAGAUCAAAGCAAAAAAAGAGAGAGACAAAAAACACCCAGUCCAGUUUGCUAACAAGCACUUCAGCUAGUUCUCAUUUUAAGAUUCCUAAAAACCAAUUUUUAGGGGAAGAGCCGAGACUCAGCGACAGAGCAAAUGCUUUGCAUGCAGAAGGUCCCGGGUUUAAUCCUGCCACUUCCAAUCAGAAGAAUCAGGUAACAGGCUAUGUGAAUAUACUGUACAGGUGCUGGAUCAGUCAAAGUAGUCAAUACUAUUCAAAUUUGGCCACUUUCCUGACCUGGUAUGUUUCUAUGCCAUGGGCGUAGCCAAGGGGGGGCAGGGAGGGGCAAAUCCCCCCAAAAUCAUCAUCAACAACAACAACAAACAUAGCUGAGGGUCUAGGCCCCCAACAAAAGGCCUGCUCCCCCUGACAAAAAUCCUGGCUACACCUAUGUUCCAGGUGCACCAACUCUAGGAGGGAGAGGGGUCAUCAGCCCCCUCAACACUCCUUAGCCGGGGGCUCAGCUCCCUGAAUAUUGAGGGGGCAGAGGAGGCCGAACCACCAAGCCGAGAGCAGCUCAACAUCAAUGGCAGGCUCCUUCUGGGCGCGCGAGAGGAGGAGCCACAGCCAUUGAUGCUGGGCAGUGCUGGGCAAGGCCUCCUCCCAAUGACACGUGUGUGUGAUGUCAUAGGUGUGUGACACACAUUGCACAUGUGACUUCACUCGGAUGCUGCGCCUCUGGACUUCCACCAAUCUUUGGUCCAAGGCAGGGCCUCUGGACGUUUCUGUUUCCCGUAUUUUUGAGCUCUUAUCUGACACUUAAGAGCUCUCAAGCUCCUCAGGUUUAGCAAAGCUUCUUUAGGAAUCUGCUUUAUACUGGGUCAGCUCACUAGUCCAUCUUGAUCUGACUGCCAUUGGCUCUCCAGGUUUCCAGACCAAUGACAUUCCUAGCCUUACCUGGAGAUGUCGGGGAUUGGACUAGGAACCUUCUGCAUGCAAGGGAGUGGGUAGCGCUGUGGUCUAAACCAUGGAGCCUCUUGACCCUGCCAAUCAGAAAGUCACCGGUUCAAAUCCCCGUAACAGAGUGAGCUCCCGUUGCUGUGUCCCAGCUCCUGCCAACCUAGCAGUUCAAAAGCACACCAGUGGAAGUAGAUAAAUAGGUACUGCUGUGGCGGGAAAGUAAACAGUGUUUCCGUCACGGGGUUCUGUUGCAUCAGAAGCAGUUUAGUCCUGCUGGCCACAUGACCUAGAAAGCUGUCUGUAGACAAAUGCCGGCUCCCUCGGCCUAAAAGCAAGAAAUAAUAAUAAUAAUAAUAAUUGUCAAGGCUGCCUCAAGUCUCAGCUCACAAAAGACCAACGCCUGUGUCUUCUUAUAUACAAAGGUGUUUACUGCAGUUCAUUGUUUGCUUGACAUCCUAGGCGCGCAGCCUUACGUCUCUUACGCUUAGACCGCUGAAGUCCCCUCUGAGUCAGUCCCUCCCCUGCACCAAUUUAAGAGACUUGCGCUGCUCCACCUCUUUCUCUCCUUCCUUUUCCGCAGGGUCCUUCUGCCCGCUGGGGUUUCGCCCCUCCUGGAUUCCUCUGACGCCCCCUCCUGCGGGCUUUGGGACCUGGCCCCUCCUCCGGGCUCCCUGUACUUCCGCGCGCCUCUACAUUUGAACUAGGCGCGCGCGCCAGACCUCUAACUUUCCUUUUGACAGUUACACUACUCCCUUCACUGCUCCCCUCCCUUCCGGGAGGGCGGCUUGCUCUGACCCCCUUCCUUUCUCUGCUGCCGGAGCUGCUUCCUCUGACACACUGGAAACUCCACCCCCUUCGCUGCACUCUGGUGGGGAGGCUGGUCCUGACGCCCAGCUGCCACUUUGGGAUCCUCCGCUGGCCCCCUGCUCCUGACACGUCCCCCCUGGGGCUCCCUGGCCUUGACCACCGGCGCCCCCUUCUGGGAAUCCUCUGAUUCGCUGGAAAGACUCAUGGAAUCUCUUGAGUCAUUGUCAUCCUCUUCCUCGCUGGCUUGGAAUUCCUCCCCAUCGCUCUCCAUCUCCUGCCUACCCUGUGCCUCUCUCCCUGAACCCCUGACAUCCAUCCCCCUCGAAGCCCCCCUUCCCCCUCCCGCUGCUCGGGCGCAGGUUCCGGGAGCUUCGUUGUAGCGGGGUAGAUGCUGGAUACAGUUCGUCGACGUCGAUCUCCUCUGCUUCCAGUUCAGUGUAGGAGUGCUCGAAACCGGGGUCCUCCCCCAACACAUCCAAACCCUUCCCUCCCCGUUACUUCCGGCGAAGCUGCUUGCCAAGGCCCCCUUCGCCACCCCACUUCUGGUUGAUCGUCCCACCAAUAAGAGCGGUCCGUGUCCACCCCCGAGCACGAUCCCCUUGGAGGGCUCGAUUGCGGCGUGGACUCCUCUGCGGAGGAGAACCCCCGGAGGUGCUGCCUGAAAGUGUGGGGGUAAAGCCAGUCGUCAAAAUACUCCGCUGGCAUGGGCCUGUGUGGGAAGAGUGCAUGGAACUCGUCCUUAAGAAAAGGUUCCUCCAGAGCAUAAUCUGGCACCCAACUGUUGGCGCUGGCCGGGGUACCUUCCCUGGCGAGGAGGUAUUCCACUCCCUCCUCCCCCCAUCUCGAGUCCAGAAUUUCCGUGACCUCGUUGAGUGUCGGGGUCCUCGGUGACUUCCCCCCCCCCUGGUGACUUUCUAUGUGGGUCUGGUGCCGUCCCUGGCUCCUGGAAUCUGUGUGGGGCCUUGUAGGGUGUAAGCACCGACCUAUGAAAGACCGGGUGCAUUCGGGAAUCCUCUGGGAGGGUCAACCGUAAAGCUACGGGAUUGAUCCUGCCCUCAACUUGGUAUGGCCCUAGCUGUUUGUGUCCUAGCUUCUUCUUAGCUAACGACUUGGCCGGCACCGCCUGGGCUGCUAACCAUACCCAGUCCCCCACCUGGAUGUCUUCUCCUGCCCUCCUUUCUCUGCUGCCGGAGCUGCUUCCUCUGACACACUGGAAACUCCACCCCCUUCGCUGCACUCUGGUGGGGAGGCUGGUCCUGACGCCCAGCUGCCACUUUGGGAUCCUCCGCUGGCCCCCUGCUCCUGACACGUCCCCCCUGGGGCUCCCUGGCCUUGACCACCGGCGCCCCCUUCUGGGAAUCCUCUGAUUCGCUGGAAAGACUCAUGGAAUCUCUUGAGUCAUUGUCAUCCUCUUCCUCGCUGGCUUGGAAUUCCUCCCCAUCGCUCUCCAUCUCCUGCCUACCCUGUGCCUCUCUCCCUGAACCCCUGACAAUAAUAAUAAUAAUAAUAAUAAUAAUUUAUUCUUUGUACCCUGCCCAUCUAUUCUUUGUACCCUGCGGCUUCCAACAAGGAUUAAAAAUACAUUAAAAUGUCACACAUUAAAAACUUCCCUGAACAGCCUUCAAAUGUCUUCUAAAUGUCAGGUAGUUGUUUAUCUCUUUGACAUCUGAUGGGAGAGCGUUCCACAGGGCGGGUGCCACUACCGAGAAGGCUCUCUGCCUGGUUCCCUGUAGCUUUGCUUCUUGCAGUGAGGGAACCGCCAGAAGGCCCUCAGCGCUGGACCUCAGCAUCCAGGCAGAACGAUGGGGGUGGAGACGCUCCUUCAGGUAUACUGGGCCGAGGCCGUUUAGGGCUUUAAAGGUCAACACCAACACUUUGAAUUGUGCUCGGAAACGUACUGGGAGCCAAUGUAGGUCUUUCAAGACCGGUGUUAUGUGGUCCCGGCAGCCACUCCCAGUCACCAGUCUAGCUGGAGAUGAGUGCUGCAACCCCAUAGUCACCUUUGACUGGACUUAAACGUCCAGGGGUCUUUUAACCUUUACUUUUACCUUGCAUGCAAGUCAGCUGCUCUACUGCUAAGCUAUGGCCCUUUCUUAACGAGCUGCUCCUAUUAAGACUUAAUAAAAUUGCAAGCACCGAGAGAACUAGCUCUAGUUCCUACGUUUAUUGUUCUAGCCCAGGGCCAUGACAAACCCUCAGCAACAGUAUCAACUAAACAAUGGAUGUUGGCAUCCAAAACAAUAUAGAACAUCCAUACAAGCCAACACCCAUUAUGUGAAAGAAAAUACCAGAGGCACCAACAAGCUUAAAUCUAGCUUGAUUUCAGAUUAAACUUCCCAAUUUAUAGUGAUGUUACUUAACUUCUUUUUCCUGACCUUCUCCCCACCUUUUUUUUUUUUUUUGCAGCCAGUGUAUAGAGGGCCCCUCCAUGCGUUACAAAGCUAUCAUUGUCAUUCAGAAGAAACCGAGCCAUUUAUGCCUGCUUGCUUGUGUGAACAAGGGUUUCAGAAAGUGAUCUCUGGGGUCUUUAUCUGAGGGGCAGGCUAACAGAUAAUGAGUGAUGUUUUCCAUCUGGAACUGCUCAUAUUGCUCCUCUACCUAAUCAAAGAACGAACCUAGGAAUUACAGCGCAGAACAAUACAGUGGUACCUCAGGUUAAGUACUUAAUUUGUUCCGGAGGUCCAUUCUUAACCUGGAACUGUUCUUAACCUGAAGCACCACUUUAGCUAAUGGGGCCUCCUGCUGCCGCCACGCCGCAGGAGCACGAUUUCUGUUCUCAUCCUGAAGCAAAGUUCUUAACCCGAGGUACUAUUUCUGGGUUAGCGGAGUCUGUAACCUGAAGCGUAUGUAACCUGAGGUACCACUGUAUUUCGGGCCACAGUUCAGUGCCGAAACAUGGACCAUCUUACUUUCCAAUUUUAGGAAAACAUGUUCAUUUAUCUACAAAAAUGCAUGGAAUAAAACCAUGCAAAUAAUAAAAAUUUCUGCCCUGAUUUUACUGGCUUUGUAGCCAUUAUAGAUGUGGUGGGGAAAGGGUUUGGGAACUUUGCGAUUGGAGAGGGGUGCCAAAUCUUCUGAAGAUUUUCAUGGCUUGGCAUAUCUAUAGACUUUGGCUGAUCGUCCCACCGAAAAACCUGCCUGCCCACCAAACUUGCAGUCCUGACAUCCAUUGUUUUUUUUAACCUAGGUGUCGUUGCCCAACACCAAGACCAACGUGUCACCCCCAAUAUCGUGUUGACCGGUGAUGGCCUGUUGCCAUGGCAAUUGCUGUCAAGAACCUGAACUGGCCAGAAGGCUAACCGCUCUGUUUGAAGCAUCAUUCAGAGGCCCAGUGGAUUCAGUUCUUGCGCUAAGUGAGACAGGCUCUUGGAAAACAUAAGUGAGAGAGGGAGGCGAGAGGCUCCUAGCCCUUUGGGGACGGGAAACAAGCAGGCUCUGCAGCUUUACUCCUGCUUUGUUUUUUGAUCUCGCAAGUAACAUUUCAGCCUCUCGCUGUUCAGCUCGCUGGAGCCGGCACGGGGCUGUGGGGCCCCCAGGAGGGCCGCGAAUCAAAUAUUCCUUCUCUACUCUGGCAGCGAUAUUGCCAAUGACAGAAAAUGCAUUGCUCUAAUCUUUUCCCAUUUUACUCAUCUGCUACAGGAUCUGACCUCCCUUAACAGCUUUGAAGGCUGUGCCAAGCAGAGGCGGCAGCAGGGCUGGCUGAGAACAGAGGCCCAGGAACAGCUGCCACCGCAUGGAGGAGACGAAGGAUUCCCUCAUCAACAGCCUCACACACCCCAGCCCUAUGGCUCUAGGUUUUCUGCUCAGUCAACGAGUUAAAUUUGUGCUCAUUGAAAUGGCUGAACUCAGAGAUAGCCAUUUGGCCACUGGUGAGCUCCAUCUGGCCG